rnacentral:rRNA from 2 species
UUUGGCGACCAUAGCAUUGUGGUACCACCUGAUCCCGUCCAGAACUCAGAAGUGAAACGCAAUAGCGCCGAUGGUAGUGAGAGGUUUCCUGUUGCGAGAGUAGGACAUCGCCAAAU